AUGAACAUACACAAGGCGCAUCGGAUUUUAAGGUGCGCUGUGAGCUUGUAAGAAAACGGAAGGCUUUUAGGCGCGCCUUUAAGUGC